GGGGAGUACGCCUGUUAGUAGUAGCUGGGAAUACUCAAUUUACACUUAAGGAGUGCAAAUUAGGCCGCCACAAUCACUUUUGAUGCAAAAUAAACAUCUUAUGGAGAAAUGAAGUAUAAGUAGCAAGCUCCUACUUCCUUCUAUCCCAAAAAAGAGAAUAUUGAAACAUAGACAAGUGCAUUAACCAUGUACUUAAGAAAUGGUCCAUCCAACUAUUAACCAUCCUGAUAAGGAGCAAAAUACUCGCCAGACUAGUUACACAGCACCAGUCUUGGUAAAUUAUAUUCAGGGUCUUAACAUUACGAAAUUCAAUUCAAGUUUAAUGUGAAGUGUAGUUCCUACUUCCAAUAUUCAAUGAGGUAACAUGGAUUUCCUGAUAUCGUUAUUUUCCUUCCAUCCCUUCUCCUUCUGAUACUGUUCUUGUCUCUUUUAUUUUCUAGAGAACAAAAGAAGGCAAGAUUAAUGCACGGAUCAGAGGGGACUUCAAUCAAGUGUGGCACUAGAAGCUACGUAAUAAAGCUGAAUCAGUUUACAUCAGGUUUCUUUAAAUCAAGGUUUACAUCAGGUUUCUUUUAAUAAUAACUCUACCAACCAAUUAGUGAACAGAUUUACCAAGACUGUUGUUCAAGAUGAUCUUGUCCUGCACCCUAAGGUGGUGCUUGAGCAAAAAGUUAGACAAUUUGCUCAUGCAAUUCCUUCGCAGAGUUUUGCUUCCAUUUUAAGGCUUUGAACUCCAGUUUACCCUCUCACCUACGAAUAUGUCCAAAACGAACAAGUAUCAUACUGCCAAUUCUCAGAGCCAUUCUGCCUAAGCUUUCAUAAUCUAAGGUAGAUAAAAUCCUUAUUCCAUGAGAUGCUUGAUCAGUGGUAUACUCCAUUUUAAACGGUCAAAGACAUCUUCUGUGGAUCAAAGUUCAGUGACAUAACUAAGAAUCUUAAAUAUAUUUAAUCCAUAUAUGAGAGGUUAUUCUACAAUAAUGAAAAACAAAAGCUAAGGGAACAAACAUCAUUGAUUGAUUGUGUUGAUUUUCUUGUUUAAAUGAUCUCAACUGCGCUCCAAUAUGGAUAAGAAACUUCAGACCCUUUCCAACUAUCCUUUGGCAGCAACAUUCACCUUUUAUUCUCCAGCUUACAUGUAGGGCAACAUAGUCAAAUUUGUGAACUCUAUACUCACCUUAGUAUAGGAUCAGACAUUGGCAAGAAGUUAGACAAUUUGCUCAUGCAAUUCCUUCGCAGAGUUUUGCUUCCAUUUUAAGACUUUGAACUCCAGUUUACCCUCUAACCUACGAAUAUGUCCAAAACGAACAAGUAUCAUACUGCCAAUUCUCAGAGCCAUUCUGCCUAAGCUUUCAUAAUCUAAGGUAGAUAAAAUCCUUAUUCCAUGAGAUGCUUGAUCAGUGGUAUACUCCAUUUUAAACGGUCAAAGACAUCUUCUGUGGAUCAAAGUUCAGUGACAUAACUAAGAAUCUUAAAUAUAUUUAAUCCAUAUAUGAGAGGUUAUUCUACAAUAAUGAAAAACAAAAGCUAAGGGAACAAACAUCAUUGAUUGAUUGUGUUGAUUUUCUUGUUUAAAUGAUCUCAACUGCGCUCCAAUAUGGAUAAGAAACUUCAGACCCUUUCCAACUAUCCUUUGGCAGCAACAUUCACCUUUUAUUCUCCAGCUUACAUGUAGGGCAACAUAGUCAAAUUUGUGAACUCUAUACUCACCUUAGUAUAGGAUCAGAC
rnacentral:lncRNA from 1 species